GACAACUUUACGGAGUUGACGAUUGACGGAGCGAAGCGACGUCAAAGCGUUCAUUAAAGUCGAGUUGGCUUAGGGAUACGUUCGUUGGGUAGGGGAGCGUUCUGUAAGCCUGUGAAGGUGUGUCGUGAGGCAUGCUGGAGGUAUCAGAAGUGCGAAUGCUGACAUAAGUAACGAUAAAGCGGGUGAAAAGCCCGCUCGCCGGAAGACCAAGGGUUCCUGUCCAACGUUAAUCGGGGCAGGGUGAGUCGACCCCUAAGGCGAGGCCGAAAGGCGUAGUCGAUGGGAAACGGGUUAAUAUUCCCGUACUUGGUGUUACUGCGAAGGGGGGACGGAGAAGGCUAUGUUGGCCGGGCGACGGUUGUCCCGGUUUAAGCGUGUAGGUGUGUGUUCCAGGUAAAUCCGGUU
rnacentral:rRNA from 1 species